rnacentral:lncRNA from 1 species
AAAUAUUACUUCAAUUAUAUUUUUAUUAUUCUUCAUACAUCUAAAUGUCCCAGCAGCCCCAGCCACAAUAAGCACUCUUUCAACUGAGUCUCAAACAGAUGUCCCAGCAGCUUCUGCCACUACAAGCUCUCCCUCAACUGAGAUUCAAACAUCAGCUCCUAUAACUCCUGCCACUUCAAGCUCUCCUUCAACUGAGUCUGAAACAUCAGCUCCUACAAAUAUCACAUCACUCCUUGUCUCUUCAAACAUUUCUUCAACUGAGCUCGAAACAGAGUUUCCUCAAACACAUCCUACAAGUGAGUAUUAUUCAUGGAACGACUGC